UCUUCGGACUUAGUGGCGGACGGGUGAGUAACACGUGGGAACGUGCCCUUUGGUACGGAAUAACUCAGGGAAACUUGAGCUAAUACCGUAUGUGCCCUUCGGGGGAAAGAUUUAUCGCCAUUGGAGCGGCCCGCGUCUGAUUAGCUAGUUGGUGGUGUAAUGGACCACCAAGGCGACGAUCAGUAGCUGGUCUGAGAGGAUGAUCAGCCACAUUGGGACUGAGACACGGCCCAAACUCCUACGGGAGGCAGCAGUGGGGAAUCUUGCGCAAUGGGCGAAAGCCUGACGCAGCCAUGCCGCGUGAAUGAUGAAGGUCUUAGGAUUGUAAAAUUCUUUCACCGGGGACGAUAAUGACGGUACCCGGAGAAGAAGCCCCGGCUAACUUCGUGCCAGCAGCCGCGGUAAUACGAAGGGGGCUAGCGUUGCUCGGAAUUACUGGGCGUAAAGGGAGCGUAGGCGGACAUUUAAGUCAGGGGUGAAAUCCCGGGGCUCAACCUCGGAAUUGCCUUUGAUACUGGGUGUCUUGAGUAUGAGAGAGGUGUGUGGAACUCCGAGUGUAGAGGUGAAAUUCGUAGAUAUUCGGAAGAACACCAGUGGCGAAGGCGACACACUGGCUCAUUACUGACGCUGAGGCUCGAAAGCGUGGGGAGCAAACAGGAUUAGAUACCCUGGUAGUCCACGCCGUAAACGAUGAUUGCUAGUUGUCGGGAUGCAUGCAUUUCGGUGACGCAGCUAACGCAUUAAGCAAUCC
rnacentral:rRNA from 1 species